rnacentral:tRNA from 1 species
GACAUAGUGGCUGAAACUUUAGGCGAUAAAUUGUAAAUUUAUAUAUGGUUAUAUAACCCUUUGUCA